UACAGAGGGGGCAAGCGUUAUUCGGAAUUAUUGGGCGUAAAGGGCGCGUAGGCGGCUUGGCAAGUGGAUGGUGAAAUCCCUCGGCUUAACCGAGGAACUGCCGUCCAAACUGCUUUGCUUGAGGCCGGGAGAGGUGAGUGGGAAAUUCCCCAGGUGUAGCGGUGAAAUGCGUAGAUAUUGGGAGGAACACCAGUGGCGAAGGCGGCUCACUGGACCGGUACUGACGCUGAUGCGCGAAAGCGUGG
rnacentral:rRNA from 1 species